rnacentral:rRNA from 1 species
AUUGAACGCUGACGGCAGGCCUAACACAUGCAAGUCGAGCGGAUGAAGGGAGCUUGCUCCUGGAUUCAGCGGCGGACGGGUGAGUAAUGCCUAGGAAUCUGCCUGGUAGUGGGGGAUAACGUCCGGAAACGGGCGCUAAUACCGCAUACGUCCUGAGGGAGAAAGUGGGGGAUCUUCGGACCUCGCGCUAUCAGAUGAGCCUAGGUCGGAUUAGCUAGUUGGUGGGGUAAAGGCCUACCAAGGCGACGAUCCGUAACUGGUCUGAGAGGAUGAUCAGUCACACUGGAACUGAGACACGGUCCAGACUCCUACGGGAGGCAGCAGUGGGGAAUAUUGGACAAUGGGCGAAAGCCUGAUCCAGCCAUGCCGCGUGUGUGAAGAAGGUCUUCGGAUUGUAAAGCACUUUAAGUUGGGAGGAAGGGCAGUAAGUUAAUACCUUGCUGUUUUGACGUUACCAACAGAAUAAGCACCGGCUAACUUCAUG